AGCAGCCGCGGUAAUUCCAGCUCCAAUAGCGUAUAUUAAAGUUGUUGCAGUUAAAAAGCUCGUAGUUGAAUUUCAGGCCUGGCUGGGCGGUCCGCCUUUUGGGUGAGUACUGCCUGUGGUCGGGUCCUACCUUCUGGCGAAGCGUCAUGGCCUUAACCGGCCGUGGCGGGGAACCAGGACUUUUACUGUGAAAAAAUUAGAGUGUUCAAAGCAGGCAUUCGCUUGAAUACAUUAGCAUGGAAUAAUGGAAUAGGACAGUGGUUCUAUUUGUUGGUUUCUAGGACCGUUGUAAUGAUUAAUAGGGAUAGUUGGGGGCAUUAGUAUUCAAUUGUCAGAGGUGAAAUUCUUGGAUUUAUUGAAGACUAACUACUGCGAAAGCAUUUGCCAAGGAUGUUUUCAUUAAUCAAGAACGAAAGUUAGGGGAUCGAAGACGAUCAGAUACCGUCGUAG
rnacentral:rRNA from 1 species